CAAAGACUCAGAAGAGAACAUGUUCCUGAGGUCCCUUGACGUUCCCACUUAGGGAUCUCUCCAACUGCAACAGUCAGGCAGUGAGAUUCUACUCAUAACACGUAAAUUUUCAGUUUGGGAAGCUGGCAGCAGAGAGUUCUCUAAGUGUGAACAAAGAAAGAAAGGCAAGAACUACUGCAACUUUUGUGUGACUCUGAGAUAAACCAGUCUGGGAAGAAAGCUGACUCUAAGAAAACCAAUCACAGAACCAAUAAAUCCUAAAGAAAUGGAGAAAGAU